GUAGGUGCAAGCGUUGUCCGGAAUUAUUGGGCGUAAAGCGCGCGCAGGCGGUUCUUUAAGUCUGAUGUGAAAGCCCACGGGCUCAACCGUGGAGGGUCAUUGGAAACUGGAGAACUUGAGUACAGAAGAGGAAAGCGGAAUUCCACGUGUAGCGGUGAAAUGCGUAGAGAUGUGGAGGAACACCAGUGGCGAAGGCGGCUUUCUGGUCUGUAACUGACGCUGAGGCGCGAAAGCGUGGGGAGCAAACAGGAUUAGAUACCCUGGUAGUCCACGCCGUAAACGAUGAGUGCUAAGUGGUUAGGGGGUUUCCGCCCCUUAGUGCUGCAGCUAACGCAUUAAGCACUCCGCCUGGGGAGUACGGCCGCAAAGGCUG
rnacentral:rRNA from 1 species